rnacentral:snRNA from 1 species
AACACUUUUCAGCCUUUUGGCUGAGAUCAAGUGUAGUAUCUAUUCUUAUUAGUUUAAUAUCUGAUAUGUCCUCUAUCCAAGGACAAUAUAUCAAGUGGAGUUUGGCGUUUUGGAAUAGGAAGCUGGAAUAGGAGCUCACUCAAUCCACUGCAUGCAUCAAAAAGGCACUGCAGUACCUCCAAGAACUGUGCAACUCCA